rnacentral:rRNA from 1 species
ACGGGGCGCAGCAGGCGCGAAAACUUUACAAUGCGGGAAACCGUGAUAAGGGAACUCCGAGUGCCCGUAAAAUCGGGCUGUCCAUCUGUUUAAAUAACAGGUGAAGAAAGGGCCGGGCAAGACCGGUGCCAGCCGCCGCGGUAAUACCGGCGGCUCGAGUGGUGGCCACUAUUACUGGGCUUAAAGCGUUCGUAGCUGGUUUGUUAAGUCUCCCGGGAAAUCCAACGGCUCAACCGCUGGGCGUUCGGGGGAUACUGGCAAUCUAGGGAUCGGGGGAGGUGAGAGGUACUCUAGGGGUAGGAGUGAAAUCCUGUAAUCCUUGGGGGACCACCUGUGGCGAAGGCGUCUCACCAGAACGACUCCGACGGUGAGGGACGAAAGCUGGGGGAGCAAACCGGAUUAGAUACCCGGGUAGUCCCAGCUGUAAACGAUGCGCGUUAGGUGUAUCGGUGACUACGAGUCACCGAGGUGCCGAAGGGAAACCGUGAAACGUGCCGCCUGGGAAGUACGGUCGCAAGGCUGAAACUUAAAGGAAUUGGCGGGGGAGCAC